CCUACGGGAGGCUGCAGUGGGGAAUCUUCCGCAAUGGGCGAAAGCCUGACGGAGCAACGCCGCGUGAACGAAGAAGGCCUUCGGGUCGUAAAGUUCUGUCCUCAGGGAAGAACCCUCAUGGUAGGGAAUGACCAUGAGCUGACGGUACCUGGGAAGGAAGCCCUGGCUAACUACGUGCCAGCAGCCGCGGUAAUACGUAGAGGGCAAGCGUUGUCCGGAAUCACUGGGCGUAAAGGGUACGUAGGCGGAUAUAUAAGUCAAAUGUGAAAGGCACCGGCUUAACCGGUGAGCUGCAUUUGAAACUGUAUAUCUUGAGUUCAGGAGAGGAGAGCGGAAUUCCUGGUGUAGCGGUGGAAUGCGUAGAUAUCAGGAAGAACACCAGUGGCGAAGGCGGCUCUCUGGCCUGAAACUGACGCUCAGGUACGAAAGCUGGGGUAGCAAACGGGAUUAGAUACCCCAGUAGUC
rnacentral:rRNA from 1 species